rnacentral:rRNA from 1 species
AACGAACGCUGGCGGCAUGCCUAACACAUGCAAGUCGAACGAGACCUUCGGGUCUAGUGGCGCACGGGUGCGUAACGCGUGGGAACCUGCCCUUAGGUUCGGAAUAACUCCCCGAAGGGGGUCCUAAUACCGGUUAAUGUCUUCGGACCAAAGAUUUAUCGCCUUUGGAUGGGCCCGCGUUGGAUUAGCUAGUUGGUAGGGUAAAAGCCUACCAAGGCGACGAUCCAUAGCUGGUCUGAGAGGAUGAUCAGCCACACUGGGACUGAGACACGGCCCAGACUCCUACGGGAGGAAGCAGGGGGGAAUAUUGGACAAUGGGCGAAAGCCGGAUCCAGCAAGGCCGCGUGAGUGAGGAAGGCCUUAGGGUUGUAAAGCUCUUUUACCCGGGAUGAUAAUGACAGUACCGGGAGAAUAAGCUACGGCUAACUCCGUG